UUUAUGGUAUUUUUUUUGAACUCAAAAUUUUUUCUUUUAAACUCAAAUUUCAACAAGAUAUUUUUGGCACCAUUCUUAUCCCUGUGAAUACCCUUACGACAUACACUGCAGUACAAGUAACGAUGUGGGGAUUUGGAAACUUGUAAUUUUUGUUGUAUUUCACUCUCGUAACACUUGCUACAAUUUUUCGUUGUAAACGCCUCAUUCAUUAUAUACAAUUAUAAAUUCGGACGUUGUUUUAUUAUUUUCAAAAUAUCGUUGUGUCUAAACUUCCUGUGGCCCUUGAACGUAGGUACCCUUAUUCAUAAAAUCGAAACCUGCACCGUAAACCACCAGCGUGUCUGGUUCUUUUC